rnacentral:rRNA from 1 species
AUCAACUUUCGAUGGUAGGAUAGAGGCCUACCAUGGUGGUAACGGGUAACGGGGUGUUAGGGCACGACACCGGAGAGGGAGCCUGAGAAACGGCUACCACAUCCAAGGAUGGCAGCAGGCGCGCAAAUUACCCAAUCCCGACACGGGGAGGUAGUGACAAUAAAUAACAAUACGGGGUUCUUUCGGAUCUCGUAAUUGGAAUGAGUACAAUUUAAAUCUCUUAACGAGGAACAAUUGGAGGGCAAGUCUGGUGCCAGCAGCCGCGGUAAUUCCAGCUCCAAUAGCGUAUAUUAAAGUUGUUGCAGUUAAAAAGCUCGUAGUUGAAUUUCGGGGUUAGUAGGUUGGUCAUGCCUCUGGUAUGUACUGGUCUCACUGAUUCCUCCUUCCUGAUGAACCGUAAUGCCAUUAAUUUGGUGUUGCGGGGAAUUUGGACUGUUACUUUGAAAAAAUUAGAGUGUUUAAAGCAAGCUAACGCUUGAAUACAUUAGCAUGGAAUAAUGAAAUAGGGCGUUCGAUCCUAUUUUGUUGGUUUCUAGGAUUGACGUAAUGAUUAAUAGGGAUAGUUGGGGGCAUUAGUAUUCAAUUGUCAGAGGUGAAAUUCUUGGAUUUAUUGAAGACUAACUACUGCGAAAGCAUUUGCCAAGGAUGUUUUCAUUAAUCAAGAACGAAAGUUAGGGGAUCGAAGACGAUCAGAUACCGUCGUAGUCUUAACCAUAAACUAUGCCGACUAGGGAUCGGAUGAUGUUAAUUUUUUAAUGACUCAUUCGGCGCCUUACGGGAAACCAAAGUGUUUGGGUUC